AAUUUAAAAUUAUAAUGGACUGUCCAUGCAGUUACACCGUUGUAAAGUUUGAAUUCAAAGGAAUUGAGGUCAGUUAAAGCUUGCAAACACAAAGGAAAUUAUUGAUAUUGUAGCAAUUCUGGAGAUAUUUUGUUUAAAAUGUAAGGGUGCAUAUUUUUGAUUUUCUCAAAGAAAACAUUUAAAGUCUUAUUAGUGUGGUGAAUAGAAAUGAGAAGUUUUAACUGAAGUGUGAAUGUGUAGACAAGAAGAUAAACAGCAGAAUCAUUCCCAGUCAAAGUUUCAGGUAAACAACUUUUACAUACAAUAAUUAUUGUUAUUUAUGCAGAAACUGUUUAGUUUUUUGACAGUAAAAAUAUGAAGUGGUAUUGUAUAAAAUUGUGUUUUAUAUUUGUUUUGUUUGUAACUUGACUAAAAAGAAAGCUGCAUGUACAAUGUACAUAUAAAGAAUGUAGGAAUAUAAAGAAUGUAGGAAGAUCUUCAUCAUUUCUUAAAUACAAUAUGUUAGAAAUUUUAAGUUUGAGAAAAAAAAUUAUAGAAAUUAAUCAGUAAGUACAAUAUCAUUAUGUACAAUAUUACAUCAUUCAAACUAUAGAUAACUUGAGGUACCUAUUACUACAACUUUCAUGCUAAAAACAAUUUUCCUUGUGUGUCACAUGUGGAGCAGAUUAACAGUAAUUGAUUUAUUAGUAAGUUUUAUUCCUUCAUUGUUGUAAUUCAGCUUUCAUGGUGCAGUAGAUAAUUAUAUAACCAUAACUAGACAGUCUAGAGUAACAUGCUAUUAGGAGAAUGACAGUUCAUAACAGAAACAGCAUUAAAUAAGAAUUAUUAUUUUGCAGACACAAAGCAAUGAGGAGCAGCCUGGAGCAACACAUUUGAUCUUCAGUGGCUUUACAAAGGACCAAGUGAUGGCAGAACUGAAGCCAUAACCUCAAAAGAGAAAGGUACAGCAAAGCUCUUCAGAAUGCUAUUCAAUAUAGAAGAGAUUAGGGGCCGCUCAUUGUUUGGUAUGAGGAAAGGGAACAGAGAGUCUGACGCCAGACCUUCUUGUGCAGACAAGGCAAAACUUAAGUUCUUGGAAGAUUGUGCGCUCGAAAAGUUGCCGACAACCUAAAGGAUUGAACUCAAACCGUCCAGGAAUAGAAAGACAAACUGAAGAUAAUAAAUGGACUAAUGUUUUGCUAUUUUUUGAGACAAUAUAUAAUUUCAUAUGGAAACAUUAAAAAGGAUUAUUUUUAAAAUUUGUUUGUUUCCAAUUUAGGGUACAGGGUGACUUUCAAGCAGUUUCCAGCUAUUGCCACCCACAAGGUGGAAAAUUUCUGAAAGGGUGAAAAUAGGUGGCAUUUAGUGGAAACUGAAUUUGCCACUAUCUGGUGGCAAAAUGGUGGAAAAGUGUCUAAAUACUCCACCAAUUUUCCACCCUUAUGGUGGCAAAAGGUGGAAAUAAGUGGCAUUUGGUGGAAAAUAAGUUUGCCACUCAAUGGUGGCAUAAUGGUGGAAAUUUGUCUAAAUACUCCACCAAUUUUCCACCAUUAUGGUGGCAAUAAGUGGAAGCAAGUGGCAUCUAGUGGAAAAUGAGUUUGCCACCAUAAGGUGGCAUAAUGGUGGCAUUAUGGUGAAAGUUUGUCUAAAUACUCCACCAAUUUUCCACUCAUUGGUGGCAUUUAGUGUAAAAAAGGUGGAAUUAACUGGAAAAUUAUAUAACAUCAGUCCUGCUCAAAUUUUUCACCAUUUUCAUGAUUUGGGUGGCGUUUUGGUGGCAUUAUUGGUGGAAAAUUGUCUAAAUACUCCACCAUUGAAAAGGGUGGCAUUUUAGUGGCAAAUCUAGGGAC